AUCUCUUGUUAGAUUUGGACUUACUCCCAAAACCGUGUAAAUUCCAGACCUAUGAGAUCAGAUGAAUGAUGUUAGAUGGUAAUUACGAACUCUUGGUAAAGCCAUUUGACAGUGGGAUGUUGGAAUUCAUGAAUAUUGAAAACUUGGCAGGUGAUAGUUUUCUUGAUCAAAACAAGUUUCUUAUACCAAAACAAAUAUCAAUCGAACAAGGAAAUGUAAGC
rnacentral:lncRNA from 1 species